rnacentral:rRNA from 1 species
ACGGCUCAGUAACACGUGGACAACCUACCCUUGAGCCGGGGAUAAACCCGGGAAACUGGGUAUAAUACCCGAUAGUCCUCGACUGCUGGAAUGCAUCGAGAACGAAAGCUCCGACGCUCAAGGAUGGGUCUGCGGCCUAUCAGGUAGUAGUGGGUGUAGCGUACCUACUAGCCUACGACGGGUACGGGUUGUGAGAGCAAGAGCCCGGAGAUGGAUUCUGAGACACGAAUCCAGGCCCUACGGGGUGCAGCAGGCGCGAAAACUUUACAAUGCUGGAAACAGCGAUAAGGGGACCUCGAGUGCCAGGUUACAAAUCUGGCUGUCGAGAUGCCUAAAAAGCAUUUCAUAGCAAGGGCCGGGCAAGACCGGUGCCAGCCGCCGCGGUAACACCGGCGGCUCGAGUGGUAACCGUUAUUAUUGGGUCUAAAGGGUCUGUAGCCGGCCGGAUAAGUCUCUUGGGAAAUCUGGCAGCUUAACUGUCAGGCUUUCAGGAGAUACUGUCUGGCUCGAGGCCGGGAGAGGUGAGAGGUACUUCAGGGGUAGGGGUGAAAUCUUGUAAUCCUUGAAGGACCACCAGUGGCGAAGGCGUCUCACCAGAACGGACCUGACGGCAAGGGACGAAAGCUAGGGGCACGAACCGGAUUAGAUACCCGGGUAGUCCUAGCCGUAAACGAUACUCGCUAGGUGUCGGCCACGGUGCGACCGUUGUCGGUGCCGUAGGGAAGCCGUGAAGCGAGCCACCUGGGAAGUACGGCCGCAAGGCUGAAACUUAAAGGAAUUGGCGGGGGAGCAC